rnacentral:rRNA from 1 species
UGGGGAAUAUUGCACAAUGGGGGAAACCCUGAUGCAGCAACGCCGCGUGAGUGAAGAAGUGAUUCGUUAUGUAAAGCUCUAUCAGCAGGGAAGAAAAUGACGGUACCUGAGUAAGCAGCCCCGGCUAACUACGUGCCAGCAGCCGCGGUAAUACGUAGGGGGCAAGCGUUAUCCGGAUUUACUGGGUGUAAAGGGAGCGUAGACGGCCAUGCAAGUCUGAAGUGAAAUGCCAGUGCUCAACACUGGAACUGCUUUGGAAACUGUGAGGCUGGAGUGCAGGAGAGGUAAGUGGAAUUCCUAGUGUAGCGGUGAAAUGCGUAGAUAUUAGGAGGAACACCAGUGGCGAAGGCGGCUUACUGGACUGUAACUGACGUUGAGGCUCGAAAGCGUGGGGAGCAAACAGGAUUAGAUACC